AACGAACGCUGGCGGCAUGCCUAACACAUGCAAGUCGAACGAGACCUUCGGGUCUAGUGGCGCACGGGUGCGUAACGCGUGGGAACCUGCCCUUAGGUUCGGAAUAACUCCCCGAAAGGGGUGCUAAUACCGGAUAAUGUCUUCGGACCAAAGAUUUAUCGCCUUUGGAUGGGCCCGCGUUGGAUUAGCUAGUUGGUAGGGUAAAAGCCUACCAAGGCGACGAUCCAUAGCUGGUCUGAGAGGAUGAUCAGCCACACUGGGACUGAGACACGGCCCAGACUCCGACGGGAGGGAGCAGUGGGGAAUAUUGGAGGAGGGGCGAAAGCCUGAUCCAGCAAUGCCGCGUGAGUGAUGAAGGCCGUAGGGUUGUAAAGCUCUUUUAGCCGGGAUGAUAAUGACAGUACCGGGAGAAUAAGCUCCGGCUAACUCCGUG
rnacentral:rRNA from 1 species